rnacentral:rRNA from 1 species
CUACGGGAGGCAGCAAGCGGGAAUAUUGCACAAUGGGCGAAAGCCUGAUGCAGCGAUGCCGCGUGAGGGAUGAAGGCCUUCGGGUUGUAAACCUCUGUUGAUGGGGAAGAAGCUCUGACGGUACCCAUCGAGGAAGCUCCGGCUAACUCCGUGCCAGCAGCCGCGGUAAGACGGAGGGAGCAAGCGUUGUCCGGAUUUACUGGGCGUAAAGCGCGCGUAGGCGGCCCGUCAAGUCAGCGGUGAAAUUGCUGGGCUCAACUCAGCAACUGCCGUUGAUACUGGCGGGCUCGAGUCCGGGAGAGGGAAGCGGAAUUCCUGGUGUAGCGGUGGAAUGCGUAGAUAUCAGGAAGAACACCGGUGGCGAAGGCGGCUUCCUGGACCGGUACUGACGCUGAGGUGCGAAAGCUAGGGGAGCGAACGGGAUUAGAUACCCCGGUAC